rnacentral:rRNA from 1 species
UUCCGGUUGAUCCUGCCGGACCCCACUGCUAUCGGGGUGGGACUAAAACAUGCAAGUCGUCCAAGCAAGGCGCGGCAAACGGCUCAGUAACACGUGGUCAACCUACCCUUGGGACGGAGACAACCCCGGGAAACUGGGGCUAAUCCCCGAUAGGUAAGGACUCCUGGAAUGGAUCCUCGCCCAAAUGCUACGUCGCUCAAGGAUGGAGCCGCGGCCGAUCAGGUAGUUGGUGAGGCAACGGCUCACCAAGCCUAUAACCGGUACGGGCCGUGAGAGCGGGAGCCCGGAGAUGGGCACUGAGACAAGGGCCCAGGCCCUACGGGGCGCAGCAGUUGCGAAAACUCCGCAAUGCGCGAAAGCGUGACGGGGCUACCCCGAGUGCCGCCCGUUGAGGGCGGCUUUUCCACGGUGUAGGGAGCCGUGGGAAUAAGGAGAGGGCAAGCCUGGUGUCAGCCGCCGCGGUAAUACCAGCUCUCCGAGUGGUGGGGACGAUUAUUGGGCUUAAAGCGUUCGUAGCCGGCUCGACAAGUCUUCCGUUAAAUCCAACGAUCUAAUCGUUGGGGUGCGGGAGAUACUGUUGGGCUAGGAGGCGGGAGAAGCCGACGGUAUUCUCGGGGUAGGGGUGAAAUCCUGUAAUCCCGGGAGGACCACCAGUGGCGAAGGCGGUCGGCUAGAACGCGCUCGACGGUGAGGGACGAAAGCUGGGGGAGCGAACCGGAUUAGAAACCCGGAUAGUCCCAGCUGUAAACGAUGCGGGCUAGGUGUUGGGGUGGCUACGGGCCACUUCAGUGCCGCAUGGAAGCAAUUAAGCCCGCCGCCUGGGGAGUACGGCCGCAAGGCUGAAACUUAAAGGAAUUGGCGGGGGAGCACCACAAGGCGUGAAGCUUGCGGUUUAAUUGGAGUCAACGCCGGA